UUUCACGAGUGAGUGAGAGCUCCAGGUUCGAACCUGUAAUAAAGAUCCUUGCUGCUUGGCUUUGACUCUGGACUCUGGUGGUCUUCUCCGGGGAAUAAACGGUCUGGGCAUAACAAUGGUCACCGUCAACCUAGGCCUAUGUGGCUUCCACUAAACCCAGUUAGCACAAAUUGCUCCAUGAGCUACGGGCUGCAGAGGAACAGAAUGCAAAGAACAGCUCAUGAUAUUCACAAAUAGAUUAUCACUAAUCAUCUUUAAAGUACAGCAGUGUGUUGACAGCUCCAGCUGAAGAGCUAAAGACAAACAGCAUCAGAAGAAACAAAGUCACCUAAAAUACUUAUGAGACUAAGCAUAGCCUCUGGUGGAAUUGUCUUGCAGUGAAUACAGAUCUAGUGACAUGCUAUUGACUACGGUUUCCAGCUGAAUAUCUUGGGAGGAUUUGGUUGUUUGGACUUCACCAGCUGUUACAAUAAAGGACAUCUGACCCGGCUAUGAUUCCUGGACACCGGACACUGUAUUCCUCGACACAGAUUACAUUCCUGAACAUUGGAUUCACCUAUCAGCUUCUGUUUCCCAUACUUUUACAGUUAUGCUAAAAGUGGGCAGUGCAAUUAAAUCUCUUAAUGUCUGAGUAAAGCACAAUUUACACAUGUAGAAAUUUCCAAUAAAGAUGACUAUUUUGGUUAAAAAUCCUUUUGCAGAUGGUCUCAGUAGCCCAAGUUGUAUCUCAUCUACCCAAAUUGUAUCUCAUCUACCAUCUGCGACAAAUCCAAGUUAAAAUCUCUGUUUGUACUCUUUCCCUCUCUCACUGGCAGACUGAUAAGUAUCUCUAUUAGGUACAAAAUAUUCUGAUGUCACCUAAUAACAAACCCGAAGGUCUGUGAUGCAGCAGGUAUCCCUGGGAACCAGUUCUACUGGAACUGUGAUUCAUCAGACAGUAGCCCCAAGGUUGGGAUGGGAUAGGACCUUGGAAAAAUAAGAUCCUCAGAGGACAAAUACAAAAGUCUUGAACUUUGGCCCGUAUACCAUGCUAGAAGGUGGUGAUUCUAAAAGAUUCCUGUCGUUGGAUUGUGCCCACGUGUAUCUCAUCAGUGCAGAGGGCAUCUCAACAUCAGCUUCCUGCCUAAAUAUGCAAUACAGUGCAUGAAAUUCAGUGCACUCUAAUUUCUACUAUAAUACUCUCAUGUCUAUCAGCACCUGGGGUCUUCUCUGUAAUACUCUGGGUGGUGGGCUGUGUGAAUUUUCUGUUCCAAUGGCCAAUAGCUACUAAAUAACUAAAAGAUACAUUUGAUUUUAUAUUAGCUUUAUAUUGUUUUAAUUCCCUAUACCAUUUAUCAUUGAAAGCUAGAUUAAGAAAAAAAUUACUACCAUAUGAUAAUGACAAAAGAAGAUCAUUUUCAAAGGCAUCAUGUGUAGGAUUAUCGCAAUAGAGGCUGAUUUAUCUUUUACAUGUGAACAUUUACCCCUGAAAUGUUGUUUGCUCGCUCCCCAGAGGACUGAAACAAUAGAACACGAGACCAACAAAUAAUGACAGCAAUUAGUAUAAUCAUUAAGAGAAAAUACUGAUAAGUUAAAUACUCCCCUUGUAAACAAGGUAAAUCACUUUAUAACUUUCAGUGGCUUUAAACUCAUACUUUAGGAAUUAAUUCCCAUGAAAUUCCUCUUGUCCUGUCAACAUUUUAAUUAUAAUGGGAUAAUUUGUGCAUGGAACCUGAUGUUAUUCAGGUUGAGUGAAUGUCUUCCAUGACCACUCAAGGUGUGGUCCACAGACUGUGGCAUUGGCAUUGCCGGGGAUCAUGGUAAAAUUGCAGACUACCAUGACUCACUCAAGACCAGCUGAAUCCAAAUUUGCUUUAGAAUGAGAUCCCAAGGCUAGCAUUCGAGUCUGAGAAGCACUGUUCUGUGAUGUCCAGGUAGCCACAGUUUUAGCUAAUGUAAGAACUGAUGGCAUUUUAAAUUUUCCUGGAUUCUGGAAAAGUGGUUUCUGCUUUUGCCUUUUAGGCAUUUCCUUUGGAUUAUAAAGGCAGUAGGAUAAGUGAAAGGUUAGAAGAAAAUAAAAAAGAAAAAAAAAAAAGAGAAAACUCUGGUCACUAAUUGACGAGGCAGAAAAAAGAGAACACAGCAUAUUCCUGAAAUAUCUUGCGUUACUGUAAUUAACACCCAGUGUACGAGGCUUCCUUUGCAGAUUUAAUGAUUGUUACCUGCACCCACAUUUUCUCCACAUUCUAGCAAUGCUUGGUAAUGACACCUCCCUCUUCUGUACACUCACUCUUGUGGUUGUGGCAACUAGCUCGCUCCUUGGAUACUCAGUACUGACAAAGGCUCUCUUGAGAAGGUUAAAAAACAUACAGUUUUUCUAUUUUGAAAAUUGAAUGGUACAAAGUCUACUUCUUUUGAUAAAGGUAAGGGAGAUCAAGCAGUUUUUUGAAACCAAGCAAUGAAUUCAUUUUAGCGAUUCACAGUUGUUCUGGAAAUGCAACAUUUGAAAAGCUGUCCUGUCUCAUUGAGGCAGAUUAGUUAACUCAGAGUUCAAGGGUCAUGAUAGAUAUUCAUGGCAUUCCUCUCAUCUGUUGUGUGCUGUCCUGAGACUUGCUGACUCAAAGUGUGGUCCCUGACCAGUAGCAUUGGCCUUCCCUGGGUACCUGAUAGAAAUGCAGCGUUUUGCUCCUACCCUGGGCCUAUAAGAAUCUGGGUUGUGGCUGGGCGCAGUGGCUCAUGCCUGUAAUCCCAGUACGUUGGGAGGCUGAGGCGGGUGGAUUACCAGGUCAAGAG